rnacentral:rRNA from 1 species
GCGAGCGGCGGAUGGGUGAGUAACACGUGGGGAACCUGCCCCUAAGUCUGGGAUACCAUUUGGAAACAGGUGCUAAUACCGGAUAAUAAAGCAGAUCGCAUGAUCAGCUUUUGAAAGGCGGCGUAAGCUGUCGCUAAGGGAUGGCCCCGCGGUGCAUUAGCUAGUUGGUAAGGUAACGGCUUACCAAGGCGACGAUGCAUAGCCGAGUUGAGAGACUGAUCGGCCACAUUGGGACUGAGACACGGCCCAAACUCCUACGGGAGGCAGCAGUAGGGAAUCUUCCACAAUGGACGCAAGUCUGAUGGAGCAACGCCGCGUGAGUGAAGAAGGUUUUCGGAUCGUAAAGCUCUGUUGUUGGUGAAGAAGGAUAGAGGUAGUAACUGGCCUUUAUUUGACGGUAAUCAACCAGAAAGUCACGGCUAACUACGUGCCAGCAGCCGCGGUAAUACGUAGGUGGCAAGCGUUGUCCGGAUUUAUUGGGCGUAAAGCGAGCGCAGGCGGAAAAAUAAGUCUAAUGUGAAAGCCCUCGGCUUAACCGAGGAACUGCAUCGGAAACUGUUUUUCUUGAGUGCAGAAGAGGAGAGUGGAACUCCAUGUGUAGCGGUGGAAUGCGUAGAUAUAUGGAAGAACACCAGUGGCGAAGGCGGCUCUCUGGUCUGCAACUGACGCUGAGGCUCGAAAGCAUGGGUAGCGAACAGGAUUAGAUACCCUGGUAGUCCAUGCCGUAAACGAUGAGUGCUAAGUGUUGGGAGGUUUCCGCCUCUCAGUGCUGCAGCUAACGCAUUAAGCACUCCGCCUGGGGAGUACGACCGCAAGGUUGAAACUCAAAGGAAAUUGACGGGGG